rnacentral:tRNA from 1 species
GGUAUGGCGCCGGAUGAACGGAUAACUCUGAUGACGUUAAUUAAGGAGUGUUACUCCCUAUACCU